CUGGCAGUCCACAUGCGGCCAUCCACCUAGCAAGCCACGUGCGUAUAAAGUCGAGUGAAAACUGCACUUGCAAGUUCAGUUUUGUUCCUUUUUUUUUUUUAGUGCAAAGUUCGGUUCUCGGUUACAAACGUCGGUUUACUUUCUAUAGAUCUGGAGUAAAACGCGGUGGAAUGACUGCGAAAAACUUGUGUUAUCACCAAUUGAAAUUUGUUUAAUCGAUUCGUACAGUGAAUUCAUAUUGUUUGAAACUGAUAAACAUAUUUGCAAUAAUCAAUUGUGCGACGUGUCCGAUGGUUUAAUCGCAAUCAAUUACGGUACACGUGAAUCCUAAGAAAUCAGGAUUUUCGUCGCGGGCUCGGUUUGGAUGACAAUCGUAACCGGGAUACGAUGAAUUCUUCGAGCGCUUUUCGCGCUUGGAUAUAGCGUGCAUGGGAAGCACUUGAGCCAUCGAUUGCAUUAACCCGGUGUUGAAAGCUUCCCGCUGGGCUACGUGAAAUUAAUUUAUUCAUACGUGGAAUUGUCAACCUCGUGAAACAAUUUUCAUAAUCCCGAAUCAUCAAAAAUUUGAACUCUGCGGUACCGGCAUGACCUGAGAGAAUGAAAAAAGCUCAAAUUACUUCGCUCAUCAAUUUUUUGAAUUGAAUAAGACCGUUUGAUCGAUAAUAAGAACCUCAACUACGCGAGUGAAUAAAAUAAUGCUAAGAGUAAAAAUCAAAUUAAAAAUCAUACUUAAAUCCGAAAUUAAUACAAGUGAUUGCAGAAAUCGUCAUCCGAGUCAACUGCAACUGGUCGUUUCAACCUUCCAUCGAACAUGUGUCCCUUUCAAGUCUCUUACCAUAAUUCAAAAGGGAAGUCUUGGUGAGCCGAGGAUUUAACGAAAAUGUUCUACAGCAAAAGCAGGAUGCGAUCGGGUACUGAGAUUGAUUCGUUCUCACUUCAACUUGGAUGUUAUUCUGAACGCGUCAACAAUAUUAUUAUCAUACAGUAUAUUUGAGAGUAUUCAAAAACAAUUCGCGCAACCCAAAAAAUAUGGACGAC